GCCUUCGUGGUGUAGUGGUUCUGCACGCUGGGCCGGCAUUCCAGAGGUCCGUGGUUCGAUUCCCGGCGAAGGCA
rnacentral:tRNA from 1 species